rnacentral:rRNA from 1 species
GACGAACGCUGGCGGCGUGCUUAACACAUGCAAGUCGAGCGGUAAGGCCCUUUCGGGGUACGACGAGCGGCGAACGGGUGAGUAACACGUGGGUGACCUGCCCUCAGCUCUGGGAUAAGCCUGGGAAACUGGGUCUAAUACUGGAUAUGACUCCACGGUGCAUGUCGUGGGGUGGAAAGCCUUGUGCGGCUGAGGAUGGGCCCGCGGCCUAUCAGCUUGUUGGUGGGG